UUCUUGCUCAACCGGUAGAGCAUGAGACGCUUAGUCUCAGGUUUGUGUGUUCGAGCCCCACUUGGGCAAAA